rnacentral:sRNA from 1 species
GCUGGGUGUGGUGAUGCACACCUGUAAUUCCAGUGACUUGGGAGGCUGAGGCAGGAAGAUUGCAAGUUCAAAGCCAGCCUCAG